AUUGAACGCUGGCGGCGGGCUUAACACAUGCAAGUCGAACGAGUGGCGGACGGGUGAGUAAUGCUUGGGAAUCUAGCUUAUGGAGGGGGAUAACUACGGGAAACUGUAGCUACUACCGCUUACCAUAGGAUGAGCCCAAGUGGGAUUAGGUAGUUGGGGAGGUAAAGGCUCACCAAGCCGACGAUCGCUAGCUGGUCUGAGAGGAGGACCAGCCAAACGGGGAAUGAGACACGGCCCAGACUCCUACGGGAGGCAGCAGGGGGGUAUAUUGCGCAAUGGGGGCAACCUGACGCAGCCAUGCCGCGGUGAUGAAGAAGGCCUUCGGGUUGUAAAGUUCUUUCGGUAGCGAGGCGUUAACUACAGAAGAAGCACCGGCUAACUCCGUGCCAGCAGCCGCGGUAAUAC
rnacentral:rRNA from 1 species